rnacentral:rRNA from 1 species
AUUGAACGCUGGCGGCAGGCCUAACACAUGCAAGUCGAACGAGUGGCGGACGGGUGAGUAAUGUCUGGGAAACUUCCUGAUGGCGGGGGAUAACUACUGGCAACGGUAGCUAAUACCGCAUACCAUCAGAUGUGCCCAGAUGGGAUUAGCUAGUGGGGGGGGUAACGGCUCACCAAGGCGACGAUCCCUAGCUGGUCUGAGAGGAUGACCAGCCACACUGGAACUGAGAAACGGUCCAGACUCAUAAGGGAGGCAGCAGUGGGGAAGAUUGCACAAUGGGGGAAAGCCGGAUGCAGCCAUGCCGCGUGUAUGAAGAAGGCCUUCGGGUUGUAAAGUACUUUCAGCGGGGAGGCGUUACCCGCAGAAGAAGCACCGGCUAACUCCGUGCCAGCAGCCGCGGUAAUUC